UCCCCAGUGGUCUAGUUGUUAGGAUUUGGCACUUUCACUGCCGUGGCCCUGGUUCAAACCCUGGUUGGGGAA